rnacentral:lncRNA from 1 species
CAUGUUUCUUAACGCUUCCCUCUUAGCGAUCUACAAGGGUAUGUGGAUCUUAUCUCCCUCUCGUAGAUGAACAUCACCAUGAUAGGUCUUCGUGUGCGUAGGAUUUUUUUUGUUUCCCAUGCAACGUUCCCCAACAAUCAGCUGGCUCCUCGGCUCCGUCAUCUCAUCACGACAAUAUAUCAAAUGGGAAAAGGGGAGCAAAACAAUGGCGAGGACUCAUCCAAAGUACCCGCAAGACUUACAUUAGAACUAUGAUAAGUAUGCAUCAGUAUCCAAGGAAUGGGACUAC